CGGCAACACCCGCACCUGCGCGGUGAGCCUCCUGGAUCCCGCAUUCCCGCCCCACGCCCAGCAGCCUGGAUGCCCCCUCCACCCCGACGCUUGGCCAGGAGCCGACCAUCUGGAUGCUCGAGCUGGUUGCCUGGAUGAUCCCCCUCGACGCUUGGCCUGGAUUGAAUCGACCAGCCGAAGCAGCCGAGCCGUCGACUCCCACACGCCAGUGCAGCACCCCCGGAGGUCAGUGCAGUAGAAGAGGAAACUGCCCCCCACUAUCGCAUUUAAGAGGCAAGAGCCACCACUGUAGACUGAAUUAUUGCAGAGAUUACUACUGCGUCUAUGCAUUUAAGAGGAAAUAAAGAAGGCACGUUCAUGAGAAUAUACAUCCUUUGGUUCACAUAACGUCACAGCGAAGUCAACAUUGUCCAGCCAGAAUAGGGAAAAUGCUGAAUGUAAGCUAGGACCUCAUGUUCUCUUGAAUCAGGCUAUAUAAUCAUUUGUUUGGUUACUUUAAUUCCGGUUGUUUCGUUACUUCAGUUCCAGGUACGCCUCAUCUCCAUUGAUCUGUCUUUACUGCUUGCUUUCCUUUUGUUUUGAUUGAUGCUAACAUGCUUCAAGACUUUGAUAAACAUUAGAAAACGAAUUUCCGUCGUCCAUCCGUACUAGGUUGCACAUUUAGUAUUUCAUCUUAUUUAAUGUUGUCCCUUUAGGCUUAGCCAUGUACGUGUAUGAAUCUUUGAAUAUUUUUGCCUACUACUUAAAACCAUCAACAAUCGCUUCUUAAACUGCAACCAAAACCAGAAUGAUAAGCUAUUCUAUAAUCCAAUAUCAUGAUUAGAGUUUAUUUUAUUUUCACCUAAUAAACCA